rnacentral:lncRNA from 1 species
AAUUUUAAAUAUACAAGACAGACAUUUAGGACAUGCAUAUCCAAGUCAAAACUGUAUUAUUAUCUUAGUGAUAGCUCCUCUACAGGCUAUUCCUUCAACACCUUAGCACCAAAGAAAUAAGAGGUUCAUAUACUUCGUUAAUUGGUCUUCAAAAGAUACUGAAUAGCAAAUAACCAUCUUGUAAUGAAAAGUUUCCAUAUUCUUUACCAGUGUGUGACUCCUCCAGGGCUUCCAGUACUUCACCAGCCACCCAAUUGCUUAUGGACCUUUGAACUCUGUGAGGAUUUUCCACCUUUGUCCUUGUAUGUAUUCCUGGAGGCAAAGCUCCUCUUCCCCCGAUGGGCAGCUUGAAUGGACUUCCUCCUCUGCUUGCUCAGGCUCUU